rnacentral:tRNA from 1 species
GGUGGCGUGGUAGAGUGGCUAUACAAAGGACUGCAAAUCCUUGGACGUCGGUUCGAUUCCGGCCGCCACCUCCA